UGCGCAGGCGGUUGAGUAAGACAGAUGUGAAAUCCCCGAGCUUAACUCGGGAAUGGCAUAUGUGACUGUUCGACUAGAGUGUGUCAGAGGGAGGUGGAAUUCCACGUGUAGCAGUGAAAUGCGUAGAUAUGUGGAAGAACACCGAUGGCGAAGGCAGCCUCCUGGGACAUAACUGAGCUCAGGCACGAAAGCGUGGGGAGCAAACA
rnacentral:rRNA from 1 species